CCAAGAGGCGCCCGGGUCUCCACUUGACCCGGCGUGGAAUAGUGGGUUUCAGAUCUGUGAAUGUCUAAGAAGUGCGGGACACGUUUCUGAUCUUGCGGGGUCUCUUUCUUUCCCUUUUUAGACAAACAUUUCUUCGUGUGCUGUUUAUAGAACACCUAUCGAGGCCCAGCUCCAGUGCUUGCGGACGCAUGACAAUGGGAAACAGCCCCUACUUUAGAGGGUCUCCCAGACAGUCGGGUGCAGAAGGAAACAGAGGAGGAGACACCAGGGAUAUGCAUGUACACAGAAAAGGUCAUGUGAGGACACAGCAAGAAUGUGACCAUUUCCAAGCCAAGGAGAGAGACUACAGGAUAAACCAAACCUGCUGAUACCUUGUUCUGGGACUUCCAGCCUCCAGAACUGUGAGAAACUCAAGGAAUAAUUGCUUCACAGCGACUUAUGAUUCUAUCUGACCAGGUGUUUUAAAACUUUUUGAGAUUUUUGACAGACUUCCCAAAUAUCAAAUUCCAAUUGAAAUUCUUUUGACUUCCAGUUAAAUUUGGGGUGCUUCAAGGGGCCCCUGGAAUAUCCCAAAGAGAGAUCCUAACCUAAUUGGGUUCAUUUGGUAUGUUAAAUUAUAUGGGAAACAUUGUCCAAACUCACUGUUGCCUGUGUGAGAUGGAAUCAUCAGGCUCUCCCCAAUUUUAUCACAGCCACCAAAAAGAUAAGGGAAAGGGUUUUGGGUUCUUCUUCUGUCUAGUUUCUCAACUUGCUCUAUGUCCAAAAAAUCCCCUGUGGGAAUACUCCCACCUCUAGGCCCUCAGGUCCUGACCCCCGUGGCAUUUUCCAUUGCAGCCAACUCCAAUUCCUCCAGGAGUUCCUUUUUGCACCUCUAGGACCCUCUUCACUCCAGGCCUUGGCAGCCUAUACCUUGUUACAGACUACCUAUUGGGCUGGCCACUUCCAAGCAGCCCAUAUCCAAGCAGCACACAUCCUAGGCUUUGUAGAUGUUCAGUCUCGAGGAAUACACCCCAACACAGGGAAAACUGUUACAGGACACAAGCUUUAUAGACAACAGAUCCCCCUCAAGGAGAGCCCUGGCAAUGCACUAGCACUGGUUCAAAUGCCCCCUAUCAGGGACCCCUUGCACGAGGGCCUGAUGACAAGAGACAUCUGAUUCAGCAGUGGGAGAGUAGAGGAUGCUCAAAAAUCCCAUUAGGUAAGAAGGGAAUUCGGAGGACACUUUGACCCCCUUCCAACAAAAGCCUCCUGGUAAAACGUCUCUGAGAUGCCAGACUUCACUUCUAGGAGCGCUCUUGGUUGCAGGUUACUCAACACGGGAGGAACCUCUUCUAAGCCAGGAGAAACACCUCUGGAAUGUAUCCUUAAAAAUUGAAAUUUUAAAAAUAGAUGGGCUGAAAAGGGAAAAACUUAAACUCUACUGUCACACUGCCUGGCCUGUAUAUAAGUUGGGGGAUGGAGAAGAAUGGCCUGAAAAUGGGCCUCUAAAUUACAAUACCAUCUUGCAAUUGGAUCUUUACUGUCACAGAUGGGAAAAUGGACUGAGGCUCAUUAUGUCUAAGCCUUCAUGGUCCUUUACCAAAACCCAGCUCUAAGCAGCUCCUGUAAUCAAAAGCCUGGGGAAUCAGAAAGCACUCUUGACAUUUUAGAUGAUCUCCUUCUAACCUUCCCCAGUUCUCAGGGGGGCAAACCAAGUUUCCCCUGCUUCUCUAGAGCUACCUGCUUCUCCAGAGCCUCCUACUUCCCCAGAGGCACCUACUUCUCCAGAUCCCUCUGACGGCUCCCAAACUCCGCCUCCCUGUGUCCCUUUAUACCCUCUGUUACCCCAGGGAGGAGAGACUAGUCCCACCAGGGUAACUUGUAAUGGAACAUCCUAUCACCCAGGAUCGGGAAAAUUAUGCCCUCUUAGGGAAGUGGCAAAUGGUGAUGAGACAAUCGGAGUACAUGUGCCCUUCUCUUUAACUGACUUAGCCCAAUGCAAAAAGAGAGUGGGCAGGUUUUCUGAAGACCCCAGUAAGUUUGUUGAAGGGUUUGAGGCCCUAACUCUGGCCUUUGAUUUAACUUGGAAGGAUGUCCAAAUAGUCCUAUCUACUUGCUGUACCCCUGAGGAAAAACAGAGAAUUUGGGCAGCAGCCCAGGGGCACGGUGACCAGCUUGCCAGGGACCAAUCCGAACAUUUUGUUAUGGGUGGAGAUGCAGUCCCAAAUCAGAAGCCCUGUUGGAAUUAUAAUUCCUGAGAGGGAACAGAAGUCAGGAAGCACAUGAUCCAAUGUGUAUUAGAAGGGAUGAGAAAGUGUAUCAGAAAGCCAGUUAACUAUGAAAAGCUUAAAGGAGUGACCCAAGAAGAAAAAGAAAAUCCAACCCUCUUUCAGGGGCAGCUUGUGAAGGCUUUUAGAAAAUUUACUAACAUUGAUCCAUCCACUCGCAAGGAUCAAUCCUUGCUGGGACAACAUUUUAUCAGCCAGUCCACCCUUGAUAUUAGGCGGAAACUCCAAAAGUUACAAUUAGGCUUCCAAACCCCAAUGCACCAACUCCUAGAGGACCUUUGGGGUAUUUAAUAAUCGAGAUCAAGCUGAGGAAGAAGAGAGAACCCGACGUAAAAACAGGAAGGCCAGCGCUCAAGCUAAACUGAUGGCCAUAGCUGUCAGCCAUGUCUUGCAACCUCAGGACGACCCAAGGGGGCCAAGGAAGUUUAACCAUCCGCCUGGAGGUAAAACAGCAAGGGGGAAUGCUUCACAUGUAAGUCAACCGGCCACUGGGCCCAAAAGUGCCAAAAGGAACCCCCUGGUCCAUGCCCAGUCUGCAAACAAAAAGGUCAUUGAAAGUGGGAUUGUCCUCAGUCCUGAAGAGGAAGGGGGGCUCCCACUCCCGAGACAGCAUGCUGGACGACUGAGGCAGCCCAGGGAUUCUGACGGCUCCCCACAACGAGAUGUCUAUCUCCAUCGAGGAGCCCCGGGUGGUCCUUGAGAAAGGUGGCAGACUCCAACAGUUUGAAGUAAGGCUCAUGAUGGCUCAAGGAGUUCAACCCAGGUCCCUACAGGUCCUUGGAACAGUCAGCAAGGGACUUCUACACCUCCAGGGUACGCUAGGAUCUGUGGCCCCUGUCCAGCAGGAAGAAGUUUCAGAAGAGACCUUCAGCCUUUACCCCUUAAGACUUACAUGCUUUAAUGAAGCCAAGCUUCCAUGUCAGUGAGCCCCACGUGGCAGAGAACUAAGGGAGGCCUCCAGCCAAAAGCCAGUGAGGAACUAAAUCCAGCCAACAACCAUGUGAGUCAGCCUGGAAGCAAAUCAUUUCCCUCUUGAGGCUUGUGAUGACCGUAGCCCCAUUCGAUACAUUGACUGCAGCCUGUGAAGCAGAGGACUCAGUUAAGCCAGCCCAGACUCCUGACCCACAGAAACUAUGAGACAAUAAAUAAGAAAGAGACUGGGACACAAAAAAAAAAAAAAAGAAAGAAAGAGACUGGGGAAGGAGCAUAAGCACCCUUGAUUCUGGGCAGCUUCUGAGAAGGGCAGCUGAGGACCUAUAUCACCUUAAGCCCGUGAAAUUUGGGUUAUAGAUGUCUUAAAGGACGAGCAGAGUUCUGACAGGCAAAGAAAAGGAAACAGACAUUCUAAACUGAGAGAACAGCACAAGGAAAAAUUCAGAGCUCUGAACAUAAAUCAUUUCUUUAGGGGAAGGCAAGUUGUCUUGUGUGACAGGACAGGAGUACAAACUAGUUAAUACUUCCUACUCUGAUUCUGAUUUAGUCCCUAGAGCAAUGAUUCUCAAACUUUUUGUGUCAGUUUCCCUUUACACUCAAAAAUUAUUGGUGACCUUGGGGACUUCCCCAGCAGUCCAGUGGUUAAGACUCCAGCUUCCACUGCAGGGGGUGCGAGUUCGAUCCCUGGUCGGGGAACUAAGAUCCUGCAUGCCGCACGGCGCGGCUAAAAAAAAAAAAAAAAUUAUUGGUGACCUCAAAGAACUUUUGUCUAUGUGGAUGACAUCUUUUGAAUAUUUACUGUAUUAGAAAUUUA